AUAAAAUGUUAAAUUGAUUGUUUGUAAAUUUAUAUUAUGAAAUUGAGUCAUAUUAAAGUAAAAUUUAUCAAUAAUUCAUAUUAGAUCAAUGAAUAUGGCUGCCACUAGCCAGCAACAACAUACUCUAGUAGAGAGCAAUUCAACCUGCAAUAAAAGGGCAUCUCCCAUAACUCUUUAUAAAGCAACUGCGCCAAAAUGAUAAGCGAAAUAAUCAAUUUCUGCCAUUAAACUACAUUUUAUGCUUAAGCUCAUUACUAAAAGCAGGAUAUUUUUAACACUCAUACCUUAUGAAACACAAUCAUGUUUGUGAUUCUUUGAAUCUCAUACUUUUCUAAAGCAAAUAUUGAGCUGAAACUUUUCAAUAAGAAUAGUCUAUAAAGUAGAAGGAUGUAAUAAGUUUAAGAAAAUACAAAUUUAAGGCUCUUUUCAUAGUAAUGGAUUGAGUGAUUGUCACUGCAUGAGUGCAUGUAAAUUGUUGGCAUAUUUAUUAUUUGCAUCCGCUGUAAUUUCAUCAUUCAUCCCCUUAUAUAAAAAUGGAACAAAGUAAUCCAAAGUUCUGUUUUUUCCCUUCAAUCAAACACACAUGUAAGGUAUAGACUCAC
rnacentral:lncRNA from 1 species